CCAGCCCAACAUGACUCAGUGCAGGGCAGGGCUGAGUAACUAAGUAACCUGGAAGGCAUGGUAGAGAUGGAGAUGGAGCCAACUGCAGCAGGAAGCAACAUCGACUUCCCCUCCCUCCCUGCUUAGCUUCCCUUCGCCAGAACUCUCCCACAAGGCCAGGCCAGAGAUCUCCAUGGAAAGCCUCAGCCUGGAAAUUCUUUUUGCAUCCCAUGUGCAGUCAUUCUGAGGCCUUCCCCUGGUAUAAAGGCUGGCAAUAUACUGGAAAGAAGAUUAUGUGAACUAAUGAAGACACAGGGAAAAUGGAAUAGGAGAAAAAAAGAAAGAAGCUAGAAAUCACACUGAUGCAAAGAGUGACAGUAGUAAGUUAUCCUCUAUGGUCCAUGACUUCAUCAGCCAUACAACACCAGUGAGACAAAUCACUGGAAAGAGACCUCAUCUUCUCUGGAAGAAUCUUUGGCACCCUAGGUUCAUGAGGUAUGUGAUUUGAUCUGCCAGGCAUUGCACAGUUAUGUACCACAUGUAUCAGAGUUCCCAAGCACACAUCUAUCUUAAAUGGAAGCC